GGUAGUCCCCAGUCACGUGUCAUGUGGUGUUUGCUUACAAGCACACAAGGAAGAGAGACCAGAGCCUUGUGAGUCACUCACUGUUGUGCAGCAUGCGCCAGGCGAACUCGCUAAGUGGUUAGCUUCUUCCAAAAUCAAGCAUUCACUUGGUAACAGCAGAGGAUCCUGUUCUGGAUUAAGAGCCUUGCUGCCUAAUAUUUGUUUUGUACAAGCAGCAAACUAGUAUCAGUGGGGUUUGAAAACAGCGCCAGUACCGGUAUUUCAGAAUAUCCCGGAAUGGCACAAGGUCGGUAUGAAGGUAUGACAAUUUGGAUACUGCCCAAACCUAAUGACAACACAAGAGGACGGUGGUUGAACCAACUUGCAAGUUGCCUACCAAUAAGCACGUUCUUUUUCAACGUAUUAAGUAUGGAGUCAAUUGAAGGGACGGUGUUUUAUGAGGCCAUUAGAAAACCUACUGACAGAGGAGUCAGGCAACAACCCAUACUGUACUGCCCAGCCGCUAGGGAGUUGGACUUGUGGGCGGUUCGAAUGCUGGGCCAGGCGCUGGAAAGAAAUGGGUGGAAUUGAUCUCACAACUGGAGGGCUGCUGGGUUCAUAUCCUCAAAACAUUCCCUUACCGUUGGGCCCUUGAGCAAGGUCCUUAACCCCACAACAUGCUCUCCAUCCAGGGGUGCUGUGCUGUAGCUUGAACCUGUGCCAGACUCAACUGUAUGUG